rnacentral:rRNA from 1 species
AUUGAACGCUGGCGGCCGGCCUAACACAUGCAAGUCGAACGCGUGGCGGACGGGUGAGUAAUGUCUGGGCCACUGCCUGAUGGCGGGGGCUACCUCCUGGCCACGGUCGCUCAUACCGCCUCCCCUCGGCUGUGCCCAGAUGGGAUGAGCUAGUAGGGGGGGGAACGGCUCACCUAGGCGACGAUCCCUAGCUGGUCUGAGAGGAUGACCAGCCACACGGGAAGUGAGCCACGGUCAAGAGUACUACGGGAGGAAGCAGGGGGGAAUAGUGCACAAGGGGCGCAAGCCGGAUGCAGACAGGCGGGGUGUAUGAAGAAGGCCGGCGGGGGGUAAAGUAAUGUCAGCGGGGAGGCGUUACCCGCAGAAGAAGCACCGGCUAACUCCGUGCCAGCAGCCGCGGUAAUAC